GCCUACGGGGCGCAGCAGUGAGGAAUAUUGGUCAAUGGGCGCAAGCCUGAACCAGCCAAGUCGCGUGAGGGAUGACGGUCCUAUGGAUUGUAAACCUCUUUUGUCGGGGAGCAAGGCCCGCCACGUGUGGCGGGAAGGAGAGUACCCGAAGAAAAAGCAUCGGCUAACUCCGUGCCAGCAGCCGCGGUAAUACGUAGGUGGCGAGCGUUAUCCGGAAUGAUUGGGCGUAAAGGGUGCGUAGGCGGCCUG
rnacentral:rRNA from 1 species